rnacentral:lncRNA from 1 species
UUAUAAUUUUUUUUUCACAGCAACUGUAUCUUAAAAGUUACAGUACUUUAAUUCCAAAUAAGAUCUCAAUCGUCAAAUCCAAACGCACAAACUUUCCUAAAACAUGAGCCUCAAGAAUUACAAAUACCUAAAACUAUGAAUAUAACAAUGAAGCAACCGACGAAUAUCACUAAUAAUUCAAAAGAUCUAAUUAUAUUGUCCGACUAUAUACUAAUCUCAUUGUGAAUCAAUUUCACCACAUUCAAAAGAGUCAAACCAAUAAUGAUUGGAAAAAAGAACUCCAAUUCAAAGUCAUUAGUGAAUCAAAUCACAUCGCGUCAGCCCCCACUAAAUCAACAUCCAUCCGCCGAAAAUGCAGUUUACUGUUAGUCAGUAAUACAAUUAGUGUUGAUUAAUUAAUGCACUGUCGCAAUGUUUUAAAUAAAAUUUAUGAAAAUCAUAUAAAAUCCUUUCAAAACUCACAUUAUUUAAAAAAGAAAAAGAAAAAAGCAAACAUUAUAUAAUUGCUUUUAUUUACGAUUAGUUAAUUUGUUGUUUUUAAAAUCAAUUACUGGUCAAGGGCACUUCAUGAUUCAGACUAGGUGCAUUCCUGUGGUCCGCUCUUAAUUAUUAUAUGGUGUUUGAUUAAUUUUAUAAUCUAAAUUAUGUCUUUUCUUAUUCAUGCUAAUCAUUGACCCAUAACUGAAACUGAAUCUGACUAACCUUAUAGGGCGAGUUUCGAUUUCACAUCUCUUAUACAUAGAUUAUUCGAUUGUUUAUUGUUCAUUAAUUAAAGUAGAAUUCAUGGCUUGAACGUAAAGUGUUGAUGCCUAAAAUCUGAUCUAGUCUAUUAGCGAUUUAAUAUCAGACUUCUACACCAACAUUAGAUUUAUUUGGUAGAGAAUCGAUUGGUCAAUCGUCUAGAUGUCCUGCAACCACCAGCGAUUAAUCUAUGAAUAUCUAAAAUCAUAGAAGACGGUCAGAGGCGCCGGAAGUUUUUCCGGCGUGAAGCCUCCGACGCUCAAGUCAGUUUCUAGGCCUUUCGGAAAAAUUUGUGCCAUCACUCAUGUGGCUUAAUAAGCAUUGCCUUCAAACCCAAAGCUUUUCGAGUAAUUUACAAAAAGUAAAGUACAGUGUAAAAGCAAGAAUUUUUCAUGAGAGGAAGAGAGCCAAAAAAGCCCCCUGGAGAAGAGAGAAAAAAUAAAUAAAUAAUCCCCCCUAGGUAACUCCCCACUCCCCUCUUUCCUCCUUCUUCUCUCCCACUCUCGGAAGUUAUGGAUGAGAUAAAAGUCAUGCCCCCAUUCUCCCUUUUUUCCUCCUUUUAUCCGUUACCAAACAUAAAGUACCCAUAAUCUGUUGUUUUAGGAAACUCAAAUGCUUUUUUUUUUUAUGCCAAAACAAAACGAUUAAUGAGUCUACCUUCCAGUUGACUAUAAAGAUUAGUGUUCCUUCAUAAAUUAUGUGUAAAAAAUAUGAACAGAAAAGAGUGAUUGAGGCAGGUUGUGAGUUGAAGGGGUGGCUCCUUAUUGAUUUUGUUGUCAGGCAUGAAUGCAUGCAUACGUGGACGUAGGAGUUAAAAGCUGAGAUAGACCAAAUCGAUCAGCCAAUCUUUAAGAAUCUUAUCAUCAUUCCAACUCACAAGAAAAGGUGCCCCCCUCCAGAUACACAAAUCUAGAGAUUGGCCUUUCGCGGCAAAAAAAUCAAGAAUCAAUCUUUCUCUGCUUUCUCAUUCGGGCAUAUUAUUGUGCAUCCUCUCGAAUGUCUAUACUAUCCCUUCAUUGCUUGUUAUUUUCGUGCGGCGAUUACUUGUUACGCUAAUCUUAAUGCUUGAGGUUGGAGAACCUUACGCUAUAAAUAAAAUAUAACAAAACGGUAACACUUAAUUAACGUCUCCGACUUUGAUAUCAAUUGUCACAAUUUGGGGCAAAGUCUUGAAUUUUUUUUUCGUUAAAUCAAAUAAUUAAAUUAAAUUAAUAUUCUUUUGGGCAUUUUAAGUUCAUUUAACAAGAAAAGUUAUCAACUUCAAAGCUGUUACUAAAUGAGUGAGGAAUAUCUUGUCAUAAGAAGGAUUUGUAAAACAAGAUGGAUUGGAAAAGAAGUUACGAAAAAUGCUCGUGGCCAGAUUCUAACACAAAUUAAGUGAUAAACUUGUAAAUAAUACUCUGAGAAUUUUGUAAGAUUUAACAAUAAUAGCUAGUUUUGUAAAUAGUGUAUGGUACUUUUGUGAACAACAUUAGUAUUACUGUUAAAAAACAAUAAAAAAAUUUGCUAAAUUUUGAUUGGACUGAAACUCAAUUUUACUCCUUAAUAGCUUUGCCCUUGGUAAUAACUAACAACCUAGGCGCAACAACUAGGUAAAUAUUGUAUGUUUUGGACAUACAACUUACUAUAGUUUUAUUGAUGGCUUUGCAACCAUAACAUGUUGACGCAAUUAGAAGAACCCCAAAUUAUAAACAAGCCAAGACUCUUACUCACUAGCGAUAUAGAAUAUCACAAUGAUUUUGUCAAUCUCAAUAAACUAAAAUGUAGAGACAUUUUUGCUUUAGUGAUGUUGAUUAUUGUUCAAAAGGUAAUUUCUCAAAAAUCUUCCGUCAACAUGGAAAAUUGGUUCAUUGUCCAUCUCGUAGUGUAGGCCUCGUAUGUAUUAAACACAUUUUUAGCUAAACUUAAUAUUUUAGCCUUGUUGAUCUCAGGUUUCGCUAAUGCCGCAAUUUGACUCAUUGGUGUCCCCCC